rnacentral:rRNA from 1 species
UACAGAGGUCUCAAGCGUUGUUCGGAUUCAUUGGGCGUAAAGGGUGCGUAGGCGGUGAAAUAAGUUGGAUGUGAAAUCCCGGAGCUUAACUCCGGAACUGCAUUCAAUACUGUUUUGCUAGAGUACUGGAGAGGAGAUUGGAAUUCACGGUGUAGCAGUGAAAUGCGUAGAUAUCGUGAGGAACACCUGCGGCGAAGGCGGGUUGCUGGGCCGACACUGACGCUGAUGCGCGAAAGCCAGGGGAGCGAACGGG